rnacentral:rRNA from 1 species
GGAAAGAUGAAAAGAACUUUGAAAAGAGAGUUAAACAGUACGUGAAAUUGUUGAAAAGGAAACGAUUGAAGUCAGUCAUACCAAUGGGAAAUCAACCUUUUGAGCUCUGCCUUGUGGGUUCGAAGAGUUUAAAAGCCUUCGGGUUUGCGAGAUUGAGAUCUUCUGGUGUACUUUCUCGUACGGUUAGUCAACAUCGGUUUUAAUCAUUAGAAAAUGGUUGAAGGAAUGUAACUUUGAUUACGAUCGGGGUUUAUAGCCUUUGGCAGAUAUAAUGAUCAAGACCGAGGAUUGCAACGAAUGCCCAUUUCGGGCUAUUCGUCUGAUUUCUGAUACGUUGUCUUUAGUAUCGAAAGCUUGCUUACGAUAUUAGGGUUCACGGGUCAAAGAUUAGAAUGGAUUAAAUUCGUUAAGGAUGUUGACGUAAUGACUUUAAACGACCCGUCUUGAAACACGGACCA